rnacentral:misc_RNA from 1 species
UCUCCGUUGGUGAACCAGCGGAGGGAUCAUUAAAGAGUUGCAAAACUCCCAAACCAUUGUGAACAUACCUUCAACGUUGCUUCGGCGGGUUGGCCCCGGUCUCCGGGGUCCCCGGCCCUCUCGGGCGCCCGCCGGAGGUACCUAACUCUUGAGCUUUUAUGGCCUCUCUGAGUCUUUGUACUUAAAAAGUCAAAACUUUCAACAACGGAUCUCUUGGUUCUG